ACAUCCAGAGAACUUGGCAGAGAUGCCUUGGUGCCUUCGGGACCUCUGAGACAGGUGCUGCAUGGCUGUCGUCAGCUCGUGUUGUGAAAUGGUUGGGUUAAGUCCCGNAACGAGCGCAACCCCUAUCCUUUGUUGCCAGCGAUUCGGUCGGGAACUCAAAGGAGACUGCCGGUGAUAAACCGGAGGAAGGUGGGGAUGACGUCAAGUCAUCAUGGCCCUUACGAGUAGGGCUACACACGUGCUACAAUGGCGCAUACAAAGAGAAGCGACCUCGCGAGAGCAAGCGGACCUCAUAAAGUGCGUCGUAGUCCGGAUCGGAGUCUGCAACUCGACUCCGUGAAGUCGGAAUCGCUAGUAAUCGUAGAUCAGAAUGCUACGGUGAAUACGUUCCCGGGCCUUGUACACACCGCCCGUCACACCAUGGGAGUGGGUUGCAAAAGAAGUAGAUAGCUUAACCUUCGGGAGGGCGUUUACCACUUUGUGAUUCAUGACUGGGGUGAAGUCGUAACAAGGUAAGCGUAGCGAG
rnacentral:rRNA from 1 species